UAGAGAUUGAGUUCUACACAACCCAGCUGCAAGCCAUUUUCAUCUAACACCCAAGAAGAUAACUACCCCUGAAGCACAAACGAUUAGGCUAAUCGGCCUUGAUGAUGGGAAGGGACUAAGUUGGAUGAGAAGGGCUAAACAUCUCCGUGCUCACAGCUGGAAGAACGCGAGCACGCAGAAAGAUCCAUCAUGAUUGAAAACAGAUGAUGACAUGUCAGGCUAACAAAUGUGGUACCAAUAGAUGUAAAAGGGAAGAAAAAGAAGAAGAAUUUUGAGCUUCUCACUGAUAACAGAGCCGGUACAGAAAAUUUCAAGAACUUUCAAAGUUUCCUCAAGUUGAAUGUCAGAAAAGGAUGAAACAGUGGGAUGAAGCUGGCUGAAGGGCCACAACUAAGGCCAAGUGUUACCUCUGAUGAGGAGAAGUAAACACCUCAGAUUACAGCCCAAAUCAGCUUUUCACAGUUAAAGUAGUCGACACAUUAACUGUUCAGAGGAGACUGCACGGAUCGGGCCUUCAUGGCUGAAAGACACCACUGCUGAGGAAGAACAAAGAAACUGGAGUGGACAUCUGUGCAGGGGAAACAUGCACUUUGGUCUUUUGGUCUAAUUUGAGACUUCAUGUUACAGAUGCUGUGUCUUUGUGAGACGUGGUGAAAGUUAACUUUUGAAUAUGUAGAAGCAUGAGGAGCUGUGACUGUUGGUUAAGAACAAUUUAAGGCAGCAUUUAACCAGUAUGGCUUCCACAGCACCCCUUAGGGAUGCACAAUCCCAUCUAGUCUGAGCUUAAUGGGACCAUCAUUAGUUUUCCAGCACUAAAUCAACUCUCAAGGCUCUGUUAUGGCUAUUUGUGUAAGAAGCAGAGUAUUGAGGGCUGCAUGAGAUGACAAGGCCUCCAGGAUUAC